CCUACGGGAGGCAGCAGUGAGGAAUAUUCGUCAAUGGACGAGAGUCUGAACCAGCCAAGUAGCGUGAAGGAUGACUGCCCUAUGGGUUGUAAACUUCGUUUAUAUGGGAAUAAAAUGUUCCACGUGUGGGAUUUUGUCUGUACCAUAUGAAUAAGGAUCGGCUAACUCCGUGCCAGCAGCCGCGGUAAUACGGAGGAUCCGAGCGUUGUCCGGAUUUAUUGGGUUUAAAGGGAGCGUAGGUGGAUUGUUAAGUCAGUUGUGAAAGUUUACGGCUCAACCGGAAAAUGGCAGUUGAAACUGGGAGUCUUGAGUACAGAAGAGGUGAGCGGAAUUCGUGGUGUAGCGGUGAAAUGCUUAGAUAUAACGAAGAACUCCGAUGGCGAAGGCAGCUCACUGGACUGCAACUGACACUGAGGCUCGAAAGUGUGGGUAGCAAACAGGAUUAGAUACCCUUGUAGUC
rnacentral:rRNA from 1 species